rnacentral:rRNA from 1 species
GACGAACGCUGGCGGCGUGCUUAACACAUGCAAGUCGAACGGGUCUGCCCUGUUUUUUGCGGGGUGGGUCAGUGGCGAACGGGUGAGUAACACGUUAGUAACCUGCCCCUCACUUCUGGAUAACCGCUUGAAAGGGUGGCUAAUACGGGGUGUUCUGGCUGUGCCGCAUGGUGUGGCUGGGAAAGAUUCACUUUUGUUGUGUUUUGGUGGGUGAUGGGCUCGCGGCCUAUCAGCUUGUGGGUGGGGUGAUGGCCUGCCAAGGCUUUGAGGGGUAGCCGGCAUGAGAGGGUGGGCGGCCACACUGGGACUGAGAUGCGGACCAGACUCCGGGGGGAGGCAGCAGUGGGGGGUAUUGCACAAUGGGAGGAAGGCUGAUGCAGCGACGUGGCGUGAGGGAUGGAGGCCUGCGGGUUGUGAACCUCUUUCGGCGGUGAAGAAGGUCCUGCUCUUUGGGGUGGGGUUGACGGUAGCCGGGUUAUGAAGCGCCGGCUAACUACGUG